rnacentral:lncRNA from 1 species
UUUUUUACAUAAUAAAAGGUUUCCAAGCCAUAUGCCUUAACCUAAUAAAAGGUUUUGGUUCAUAUGCUUCACACACAACAGCCUCGAUUCUUCUCUCGUCGCUUCCUCAGGCGACUCGUCGUCAACUUUAAUCGCCAGAUACCGUCGCACCCAACAAUACCGAUGACCAUCGUACACCACAUAUUCGAUUCAGGUGUGAUUUUUCUUAUCCCUUCCUCCUUUCGUUCAACUGUGCGUCCUGUCGAUUUCCUUUUCUCCGUGAUUUUAGUUGAAAUCAAAAUUAUGUGAUUGUUGAAAUCAAAAUCUCUGUUUGUCUGCAGAUUUUAGAUGCAUAUCAAUUGCUACUAUCUUUCGUUCAACUGCAUUGCAUCGAUUUUGCUGUCGAUUUCAUUUUCCCCUAUGUGCUUGUUGAAAUCAAAAUCUUUGUUUAUCUACAAAUUUUGGAUGUAUAUCAAUUGCUACUGUCUUUCAUUCAACUACAUUGCAUCGAUUUUCCUUUUUUCCUUGAGUUCAGUAAUUGAAAUCAUGUGUUUAUUUCCUGUUGUCACCGUGGUGUAUCUGUACAUUUUCUGCCUAUAAUUUCAAUUGAUGCCUACUAUUCAUAAUUGUUCAAUCAUUAUUGUUCAUAACAGGAAAUAUAUGUUCUGUUCAUAACAGGAAAUAUAUGUUCUGUUCAUAACAGGAACAUACAUAUUUUUUUGAAUGAUAUCAGAUCUGCACCAAGAUCUUAGGUCAGGUGGUUUUGUUUGGCUAGCAAUGAGUCAAGAUUUAUCAACACCUAUCACCUUUGACUGCAAACAUGAUUCUUCUACUCUUGUAUUGGUCCAUUGGUAUGCAACUUCUUAAGGUUUAUUUUUUAAAAAUUUCGACAUUCUUGCCAAACACUUCAGGGUGAUUGCAAUUCAUCAACUAGGGUCAAUUCAUUACAUAAUCUUUGACCAAAUUUUGAAUAUUAUUGUAGGUAUUUUGUAUCUUUUUAAAUACUUUCAAUUUCUAGCUUACUUCUUGUAGUUUUGUAUAUUGUAUGGCAGUUGGGGUGGAUCUAGCAUGACUGACUUCACUUGCAUAAGUAACGAAGGUUAUGUCACACCCUUGAACCAGACGGCAGAAACGUCCGGGGGCUUGACGUGACUUCAUUUUUGUAGUAUCACCACAAAGUAUAUAAUUGAAACAUAACAUCAUCCUCAUCACACAUGUAAUAUAAAAAAAAUUCAUUGUUUAGGGUUUUGCUUCUUAGGGUUUCGCCUCUAAGAGGUUCGGCUCUAAGAGGGUUCGGCCCUAAAUGGUUGUUUUUCAAAUAAACUUCCCAUUUUGCGCGGUUUUUGACUAAGUUAAGGGUCGGGAUGCCCCAAAUGAUUUUAAAAAGUUGAGGGAGGUUAUGAGAGAGAUUUGGGAGAGAUUUGACAUACUUGGAGAGAUUUGGGAGAGAUUUCAGAUAGAGAGAGAUAAAGCGAGAGAGAUCGAGAGGGACUUUGUUUGUGGCCUUUGCGAGUGUUUAACUUCGAAAUGCAAGGUUUUUAAACCCCGUUUUGCCUUGUUAUGAGCGCUAUACGCCCUCGAAGGGUAUGUAUUAAUGUUUUAUCGAGUAGUUCCAUCUCUUACCCUAAUUUGGGUGUAGAUUUUCUGAACACGUGAAACUUCUAAGCGAUGCUUGGUAUUAAGAUGGUGUGUUGUACAAUAGUAAACAUAAGGUAAACCUUAAUAAACAAGGGUUAAUUGAGUUGACUGGUUUAACUUAUUGACUUUAUUUGAUUUUGAAUUGACUAGAAAUUGACUGUUGUCACAAAUGUCACGUGUCCUCCUUACCAUUACAGGCAGGGCUCGGUCUGCAGGUCCAUCAUGACUCAGAUCGUAGUAGUCCCGGUUCAUACCAAAUGGGGGUCGCACCCCUUGCUGGCAGCUCCACUUCCAGAUCUUGUGUGCCCAUGGGGGCACCCUGUCUAUUUAUGGCGGUUCGAUGACUUCGGACUCCAUGUUCGAGUCAUCCGCGUUGCUUCCAUCAGCCUCCUCCUCAUUUGAGUCAGCUACCGGUUCUACUGGUCCUCCUAUACGUUCUUCAUCGGGUUCUUCCUCUGUUUCCUCCUCUGGCUCUUCUUCUGGCUCCAACCAUGCACCAUUCCCAUGGUUAGGGAAGUAGGGAUCUCCUGGAUGGUGGAAUCCGGCCAUAGUGUCUACACAAGGGGUGAGAAACGUGUAAAGGGAGUAUGUAGAUAGCAUUCAAAAUACUCCUAUAGUAUUUUAAUUGUUUAAGUUUGAGUUCCUUAGAGCUUUUUGGAUACAAGGUAAGUUUCUAGAUUCAUUUCCCAACAUGAUCACCCCCAUAUACAUGUUGGUCGUAUUUUGAAUAAAUAUAGUUGAUCAGGCUAUAUUUACCCCUAAUACGACUACAUAACUGUCCGGGUUUAACCAUGUUGUUUGAGUUCCAGAGACUUUUAGGGUUAUAAUAUUAAUGUACACCUAGGUAUUAUUUUAUUGAGAGUGUUUUAGUCCCAUUAUAUUUAUAGUUGCAUAUCUUGUAUGAUUAGAUAUGCGAGUUCAAUAUAAACAAUGCUCUGAUAUCAAUCUGUCACACCCCGAACCAGACGGUGGAAACGUCCGGGGGCUUGGCGUGACUUCAUUUUUGUAGUAUUGUGACAGCCGUCAAUUUCCGGUCGAGUCAAAGUCAACUAAAGUCAACAAGUCAAACCAGUCGACUCAAUUAACCCUUGCGUACUAGGGUUUACGCUACUUUAUUUCCGUACAAAUCGUUAUUCUAAUGAGAAAUCACCAAUGGAAAAGUUCGUAUAUCUAGAUUUCAUUAACCUAAAACGGCGUUAAGUAAGGAACCAAACCGAUAAAACAAUGUUGCAUACUCAUCAGGAGUGUGUAAGUUCCUUGAACAUGGCUUAACGGGGCUUACAGACCUUGCGUUGUGUAGCCAAACACUAACAAAUGUCACACACGAAACCUCUCUCAAUCAUUUUCACUCUAUCUCUCUUUAUCUAGAAUCUCUCCCAAAUCUCUCUAAGUAUGUCAAAUCUCUCCAAGAAUGUCAAAUCUCUCCCAAAUCUCUCUUUGUAUGAGAAAUCUCUCCAAGAAUGUCAAAUCUCGCCCAAAUCUCUCUGUGCGUGAGAAAUCUCUCCAAGAAUGUGAAAUAUCUCCCAAAUCUCACUUUGUAUGUGAAAUCUCUCCCAAAUCUCUCUUUGUAUGAGAAAUCUCUCCAAGAAUGUUAAAUCUCUCCCAAAUCUCUCUAUGUAUGUCAAAUCUCUCCUAAAUCUCUUUUUGUAUGAGAAAUCUCUUCAAGUAUGUCAAAUCUCUCCUAAAUCUCUCCAAGAAUGUGAAAUCUCUCCCAAAUCUCUCUCAAAAGUUCCUUAAACUUUUUGUAGUCUUUCGGGCCAUCCCGACCCUUAACCAGGUCAAAAACCGCUUCAAAAGGGGUAAAAAUGGAUAAAAUAGACUUAAGGACCCGAAACCCCUCUUAAGGAGCCGAACCCCUCUUAGGAACCGAACUUGUCAGAAGCGAAGGCAUCAGAAGCGAAAUGCACCAUCUCGGACCGAACCCUCUCAGGAAUCGAAGGUCCCUUCGAACCGAACCUCGGCCUAGGACCGAGAGGCCUUACAGUAAGCUCUUUUUCACCCGGUUUUCGACUAGUUUUGCGUUUUAGGCCUGUUUUUAAUUGUUAUUGAAGGGUUUUUUGAGCAUUCUAACACUUCCUAAGUGUACAUGCAACCCUAAUAAACCUUGGAUCUAUGUUUGUCUAAGAUACAUGCAAAUAAUUAUUUUUCCAAGGUUCAUAUCUUAACUAGCAUGGCAUGGGGAACAUGAAUCAAAUAAAGCUAGUAGAAAUGCUUACCUUGAAGUUGUAGUUGAUUGCUUGGAGUUUUAGAGCCUAGCACCAAUAAUGUGGAUGCCUCAAAUGAAAGUCACAAAUCACCACAAACUUGGAACUUUGAGAGAAUAAAUACUACUAUCUUGAAAUCGGCCUCACCUCAACAAGUGUCAACUAGUAUGAUUUCAAGAACCAAAGCCUCCUUUAUAUAGUGUGGUGGAUUAGGGUUACAUCCAUGUAAACCCUAAUACCCAUGUCUCUUCAUUUCCAUGAGAUCCAUGGGUCAAAGCUCCAUGGAGUAUCCAUGGACUUUUCCAUCCAAGCCUAGCCCAUUCUAAAUAAGCAUUAGCCCACACAAUAUAAAUAUAGAAGCCCAUAUUUAAUUAGUAAUAUCUUUGAUCACUAAAUUAAUCCUAGAUUAAUUAUAGAUCACUACUAAUUAAAUAAUAUGAUCUUAUAUUAAUAUAUUAGAACUUAUAAUAUAUUAAUAAAUCAUAACUUGUACUAUUCUCAAAUAUUAUCCAUAAAUUGUUCGGGUGAAGUGCAACCCAAAUGGACCAUGCCGGGUCGGGUCAAGUACAUACCAAAUAUAGUUAUGGGCUUAGACACUAUAUCCAACAGUCUCCCACUUGGAUAAGUCUAGUAACUAUAUUUGCAAGUAUAACUUCAGGAACCGAUCAGCAAUCGUAGCUCUUUAAACUCUGUUGAACUAGAACGCGCCAUUUAGAUAAGUGAUCAUAUAAUCCUCUGUUCUAGAUAUCAGCCGGACAAAUACAUGGAACAUUGUCUUACUUAUUGUCCAGCAGUUUGUUUCCCGAUUUCUGAUUUGUUUGACAAAGAACUUAAUUGAACACAUCAACUUAGUUCUGACCGGGCCCGGUACAUAGGUCAAAACAAAAUCAUCGAGUGGCCCAGAUAUCAGCUUCUAAUCCAAGAAGGAACAGAUAAACUUCGACUCAUAUGUUUGUUCUACCACUCAUUGAAUUACACACAAAAGCACGUUUUAUAACAUCGAGUUACCAAUGCGUUUUCGUACAAUCAAUGCAUAACCAACUCGUAAGUAACAAAUCAUAUCUCUAGGUUUGAAGACUUAUAUGAUAUUACCGUCUCACGAUCACUCGAGAUAAAAUUCCAUGAAGUGAUUCCAGUGAGCGUGGGUUGAGUCCAAUGCUCAGAACUUAUGAGCACUCAUGAUUGUUGUAGCCUUGUCCAACACCUUAGACCUCUGCAACCAAUCAUGACAGUCUUGAUUCAUACCUACUUCCGACAUAUGACCGACUGUGGAGGUUUGAAUAAUAUGAUAUACCAAACAUAAUUAUUCUGGAAGUCAAAACAUGCAAAAGAAAUAUAGUAAAAGAUCGACAAGAGAUAGCAACACUUUACUCAUAAAUAAAACACCUUUUAUUCAUCAUCAAAUGUCAAUUACACUUUACAAAUUUCUGGGUUAUCUAACUACUAAAACUUAUAUCAUCCUUCAGCCCUAUGCUCCGAGCAUGCUGGAGAUGCUUAACCCUACUCAGUCCCUUCGUGAGGGGAUCUGCCGGGUUCUCAUCCGAUGAUACCCUCUUCGCCAUGAGGAGUCCUUCUUCAAUUCGAUGUCUGAUAAAAUGGUAUUUUCUGUCGAUGUGUCUGGAUCUCCCGUGAUCCCUUGGUUCCUUGGCUAAGGCAACCGCACUAUUGCUGUCACAGAAAAUCUCCAUUGGCUCUUUUAUAGCUGGUACAACUCCAAGGUCUCCGAUGAAGUUCUUUAGCCAUAUAGCCUCCUUUGCUGCCUCGCUUGCUGCUAUAUACUCUGAUUCACAAGUGGAAUCAGCCACUGUCUCCUGCUUGGAACUCUUCCAAGAAAUUGCUCCUCCGUUUAGGGUAAAGACCCAGCCUGACUGAGAGCGGAAAUUAUCCCUAUCAGUCUGGAAGCUAGCAUCACUAUACCCUACAACUCUCAAGUCAUCACUCCCACCGAAGGUAAGGACCCAGUCCUUAGUCCUUCGCAGGUACUUGAGGAUAUUCUUUACCGCAGUCCAGUGUUCCUUGCCAGGGUUCGCCUGAUACCUGCUAACCAUGCUCAAAGCAAAGGCUACAUCAGGUCGAGUACACGUCAUAGCAUACAUGAUCGAUCCUACAGCUGAAGCAUAAGGAAGUCGACUCAUUUCUGCUAUCUCAGCCUCAGUACUAGGGCUUUGUGUCUUACUCAAUCUGGCGUUACUCUGAAUGGGUAACUCACCUUUCUUGGAGUUAUGCAUGUUGAAUCUUUUCAACACUUUGUCCAAGUAGGUACUUUGACUAAGUCCAAUUAGUCUUUUACUCCUGUUUCUCAAAAUCUUUAUCCCUAGGAUAUAGGCAGCUUCACCAAGGUCCUUCAUAGCGAAACACUUCCCAAGCCAGGACUUUACUUCCUGCAGGGUUGGGAUGUCAUUUCCUAUGAGUAGUAUGUCAUCCACAUACAGUACCAAAAAACUGACUAUGCUCCCACUAGCCUUGAUAUAGACGCAAGAUUCAUCUUCACUCCUUGAAAAGCCAAAUUCCUUGACUUUCUCAUCAAAGCAAAGAUUCCACCUGCGAGGUGCCUGUUUCAAUCCAUAAAUGGAUUUCUCGAGUUUACACACUCUAUUAGGGUACUCGUUGCUGACAAAACCCUCUGGCUGACUCAUGUAAACAUCUUCAGCCAACUUUCCAUUAAGGAAAGCGGUUUUGACAUCCAUUUGCCAUAUUUCAUAGUCAUGAAAUGCAGCUAUGGCUAACAGAACCCGAAUAGACUUAAUCUUGGCUACUGGAGAAAAGGUCUCAUCAUAGUCCACUCCAGGAAUUUGAGAGAAGCCCUUUGCAACCAGUCUCGCCUUAUAAGUGUGUACUUUACCAUCCAUGUCGGUCUUCUUCUUGAAGACCCAUUUGCACCCUACAGUCUUACGACCUGGUACAUUCUCAACCAAGUUCCAAACUUGAUUGUCAUACAUGGAUUGUAUCUCGCUAUCCAUGGCCUCUUUCCAUUUAGCAGCCUCAGGGCCUGCCAUGGCUUCCAUGUAGCUGUUAGGUUCAUCCAGACCUACUAGUGUCUCAUCACUAAUAAGUGUCUCACCUUCCGCAGUAAUAUGGAAACCAUAGUAAUGCUCAGGUGCAUUCCUAACUCUCGUGGAACGCCUCAGAGGUACAGGCUCAUCAACUGGCUCAACAGGAGUUUCCUCCUCAAGUUGAGGGCUAGUGUUUGAAGUUCCUUCACCGCUUGAUUCUUGAAUUUCUUCAAGAUCAAUUUGCCUCCCACUGUCUCCUUGGCUUAUAAAUUCUCUCUCUCGAAAGACUCCUCUUCUUGCUACAAAGACCACAUUGUCACUAGGUCUGUAGAAGAGGUAACCAAAGGAUCGCUGUGGGUAACCGAUGAAAAUACACCUCUCGCUUCGAGGUUCGAGCUUAUCAUGAGUCUCGCGUCUCACGAAAGCCUCGCAACCCCAAAUCUUGAUGUGGUCUAGUUUAGGUACUUUACCAGUCCACAUCUCGUGAGGAGUUUUGGCAACUUUCUUUGUAGGGACUAGAUUAAGAAUAUGGGCGGCAGUCUCUAAGGCAUACCCCCAGAAUGAGAUUGGUAGCGUAGCUCGACUCAUCAUGGAACGAACCAUAUCCAACAAGGUUCGAUUACGCCUCUCAGCCACACCAUUCAACUGUGGUGUCCUGGGAGGUGUCAAUUGUGAGACUAUCCCACAUUCCCUAAGAUAGUCGAGGAACUCUGAACUAAGAUACUCACCACCUCGAUCGGAUCGAAGCAUCUUAAUGUUCCUGCCCAAUUGAUUCUCGACUUCCUGUUUAAAUUCCUUAAACCUCUCGAAAGUCUCUGACUUAUGCUUGAUUAAGUAGACAUAUCCAUAUCUACUAUAAUCAUCAGUAAAAGUCAAAUAAUAACGAUUAGCAUCCCUUGUGGCAUGUUUGAAUGGUCCACACACAUCCGUGUGUAUAAGGUCCAACAAACCUUCACCCCUCUCACACGAACCUGUGAAGGGUGACUUUGUCAUUUUUCCAAGUAAGCAUGAUUCGCAACUAUCAUCUGACUUUAGGUCAAACGACUCCAAGACUCCAUCCUUUUGGAGUUGGCCUAUGCGUUUCUUGCUUAUAUGUCCAAGACGACAAUGCCAUAAUGAUGCUUUAUCCAAGUUAUUAUUAGUAGAAUCAAUACACAAAACAUUAUUUCCCAAGUUAUCUACAACAGAUACAGCUUCAUACACACCAUCACAAGGUAAUGCUUUAAAAUAAAAGACAUUAUUAUAGAAAACAUCUAUAGAACCAACUUCAUUAUUAAAUGAAAAGGUAAACCCUUGUUUGUACAAAGCAUGAAAGGAAAUAAUAUUUCUUGCCAUUCCUGGCGAAUAACAACACUUAUUCAAAUCUAAACUAAACCCACUACUUAGCGAUAAAGUAUAAACUCCAAUCUUGGUAACAGGUAUAGCUUUCCUAUUCCCCAUGAUCAAGUUUAUCCUUCCUUGCUCCACAUCCUCACUUCUUCUUAGUCCCUGCAAGUCACAACAAAUGUGAAUACCACACCCGGUAUCAAGGACCCAAGAAUUAGAAUGGGGUGAGUUAUUAGAAAUGAUAGUGUAAAUACCUGCAUGGUUGGGUUUAACUUUCCCAUCCUUCACAUCUUGCUGGUAUUUUGGGCAGUUCCGCUUCCAAUGAGCUUUUUCAUGGCAAUAGAAGCAUUCAGCCUCUUUUGGGUCAGAAGAAGGAGUAAUGAAACCUUUCUUGGUUCCACUUGAAGAAGAGCCAUCAAGGGUCCGAGCCUUGGUACCCUUAGAAGAGCUCUUUCUCUUCCUCCCUCGACUUUUCCCGAUUGCCAAAACCGGAGUAGAGUUUUGAGUAGGAGUGAUAGCAACCGACUUCCCCUUAAGACCUGUUUCUGCGGUCUUGAGAAGUCCCUGAAGUUUGCUGAGGGUGACUUCUUCCUUGUUCAUGUGAUAUGUCAUGCGGAAUUGAUCAUAGCACGAUGGUAAGGAAUGCAAAAUAAUAUCUAUUGCAAGAUCCUCCGGGAAGUUCACAUUAAGCUUCAGCAAACGAUCCACAUACCUUUGCAUUUUCUGCAUGUGGCUCGUGACGGAUUCCCCGUCCUUCAUCAUGGUUGUUAUCAUGGAGCAGAUGAUUUCAUACCUCUCUUGUCUUGCACUUUGAUGGUAUCUUUCCAUCAAAUCUUGGUGCAUGUCAUAAGGGUAGAAAUCCUCAUAAGACUUUUGGAGUUCCGCUGUCAUCGUGGCCAUCAUGAUGCAAGCCACUUUCGUAGCAUCCCUUUCAUGUGCCCGAAAUUCAGCGAUCUCCUGAGGAGUUGCAGUGGACUCAUCAAUCUCCUUAAGCUCCUUGUCAAGGACAUAUUCUUUGUCCUCGUAGCGGGUAAUCAUCCUGAUGUUUCUGAUCCACUCAUUGAAGUUGGAUCCAUCAAAGGUGACUUUCCCACACAAGUUCAUAAGGGUAAAGGAGCCAUUAGGAUUAGAGCCAGAAGCAUUGUUGAAAGACAUCUGAAGGAAAGAGGACAAGAUUAGUUUAGAUAUAAGAGAGUCCUUAAUAAAACACCCAAAUGUAAUAUUAAGGCUAGGAUCCAAUCACAAUAUAAUAUAACUUAGAAGAGGUAUGCCGUAAUCUAAGCUAUAUCAUAUUUGAAAGGUAGGUGAAUGACGAUUCACCAAUUUCCACCACGAAAACCGCAAUAUUUUAGUAUUAGGUUUUUGAAUGGUUCUUAGAAAUUCCUAGAUUCUUUGAGAUUCAAUGAACUUUUCAAAGGCAUGUUUCAAUCUCGAGUGUGCCCUCCAAGUUUUGUGACUGGGAUACCGAGGAUCACAAAACGAGGUGUGAAGUAACCAUGCAAAUCACUUGGUACCCUUAAAGUUUAUCACUCAAUCGAUGUGCCGGUUAACCACACACGCUCCAUCGAUACUAUAAUAAACCCUAAGUCACCCUUUACCUACCUUGUUAAGUCCAAGUUAGUGUGCCGGUUAACCACACACGCUCCACCAACGACUUAAUCAAAGUGUAAAGUGUAAUUUCAUGGAAUAGCACCUUAUUCACAUUUUUCCUAAAGUAACUAAGAUUGGGAAUUUAAUAAAACAUUUAGUUACUUUAUAAUAUUCAUCAUACUUUGAAUGAGAAUUAAUAAGUCCUUGUCUUACCCGUUCGGCUAACGACCCUCCACCGAUCAAGCAAGCGGUGGGUGAGAGUGGACACCCAUUAAGUCACCAUUUUAUAGGCAACAACCUUAUACCCACCUUAUAGACCGGCUUCGUGAAUGAGGCGUACUAGCGGUAAGACGACUUUGUUCUUAUACAUAUAUAUAUAAUUAUUAAAUCAUAAUAAUAUAAGUAUAAGGGUUGAAUUUUAACUUUUAAAAUUCUAGGGGUUGGAACUAAAGUUUUAACUUAACUUUACUUGUUCCAAAACUUGAGGGCAAGUUUUGUAAACUUUCAAAACUUUUCAUUUCUUGUAACUUAUGAGUUUAAUAGAGUAAUAAAAUGAGGACUUUUCAUUUUUCCUAACUCUUGUGUUCUUUUAAUGGUUUUUAAUCCAAGAGACUUUUGGUUUUCCAUAACUUGAGGACAAGUUAUGGACUCCAUUAAAACACAUUAUGAUCAUGAAUUAAUCUACCACAUAGGUUACAAAUAAUUCCUAUGAUCAUCUAAACAUCAUAAGAACAAGAAUAUGAAUAUGAACACUUUCAAGAAUCAAAAUCACAUUUAAUCUUUGUAAUUUUGAUAACUAGUUGUUGUAAAUGAGUUAGAAAAGACAUUACACCUUCUAAAAUAAGUUUUCAAGUACCAAAACAUUUUAGGGUAAUGAUUCUAAUCCAUUUCCAGCAACUCAAGUCGAAAUUCUGCACUCUGUCGACCCUACUCGCCGAGUGCAUAAACCUACUCGCCGAGUAGGUUGAAGAUACACAUGAACUCGACGAGUCCUCCCCAUGGACUCGCCGAGUCCAUCAGUCAGACAGCAGAAUUUUCGACUUUCUUCAACUUUUAAGCACAAAUAACAAACAAACAAGCCUAGGCUCUGAUACCACUGAUGGGUUUUGAGCAUUCUAACACUUCCUAAGUGUACAUGCAACCCUAAUAAACCUUGGAUCUAUGUUUGUCUAAGAUACAUGCAAAUAAUUAUUUUUCCAAGGUUCAUAUCUUAACUAGCAUGGCAUGGGGAACAUGAAUCAAAUAAAGCUAGUAGAAAUGCUUACCUUGAAGUUGUAGUUGAUUGCUUGGAGUUUUAGAGCCUAGCACCAAUAAUGUGGAUGCCUCAAAUGAAAGUCACAAAUCACCACAAACUUGGAACUUUGAGAGAAUAAAUACUACUAUCUUGAAAUCGGCCUCACCUCAACAAGUGUCAACUAGUAUGAUUUCAAGAACCAAAGCCUCCUUUAUAUAGUGUGGUGGAUUAGGGUUACAUCCAUGUAAACCCUAAUACCCAUGUCUCUUCAUUUCCAUGAGAUCCAUGGGUCAAAGCUCCAUGGAGUAUCCAUGGACUUCUCCAUCCAAGCCUAGCCCAUUCCAAAUAAGCAUAAGCCCACACUAUAUAAAUAUAGAAGCCCAUAUUUAAUUAGUAAUAUCUUUGAUCACUAAAUUAAUCCUAGAUUAAUUAUAGAUCACUACUAAUUAAAUAAUAUGAUCUUAUAUUAAUAUAUUAGAACUUAUAAUAUAUUAAUAAAUCAUAACUUGUACUAUUCUCAAAUAUUAUCCAUAAAUUGUUCGGGUGAAGUGCAACCCAAAUGGACCAUGCCGGGUCGGGUCAAGUACAUACCAAAUAUAGUUAUGGGCUUAGACACUAUAUCCAACAGUUAUAACGCGGGAUUUUCACCCAAAACUUUAUUUUAUCAUAUAAGGCCUCAUAUUUAUUAAUUAAUCACGUUUUGGGGGAUAAAUCUUAUCCAAGAAGAGUGAGUGAGGUACAAGAGGUGGAGUGUUGACUUUUCUUUAGUUUAUGCCACAAGCAACCACCCACACCCACUCCAUGACCAGCCACACUCCUUCCACCAUACCUAGGUCAUGUCAAAGUACUUUAUCAUGAUUUCCAGCCAUUUCCCACGUUCUUAGAGAUGGAACAUCCAUCCUCUCUCCUCACACUUCAUUCAUUCUCUCAUUUUCCACCAAAAGAUCAAACACUUUUCUCUCAAACUUUUUCUCUCUAUUUCGAGACUCCAAGGCUGAUCAUCAAGCUUUAUUAUACUCUUAGUAAGUAUAAUUCAUCCUCCUUGUGAUUAUUACACUUCAUUUUACUCAAAUCAUUGAUUUCUUACACAAACUCCAUCACUUUGAUGUUAGAUUCUCGAAAAUCUUCAAGGCAUCUUCAAGUGUUCUUGAGUUGAACACUUCCCUUCUCCAACAUUCAUCUACUGAAAUCACAUAAGGUGAGUUCAUACCCCUAUCUUUUCAUGUUUUUCUUAAGUUUUAAGGGGAGAAUACAAGUUAAAACACCAAGAACACAACUAAACUCAUUUAACAGCCUUCAUCAGAAAAGUUCAACUCCAUUCACGGACUGUUUUGGGCAACUUAAACAUUUUAGUUUUCAAAAUUGUUUUAGGUGCAAGUAGUUCCAGUUCGUAGAUUUAAAAUUACUACUUGCACAUCUCCACACGGUUUUUCUACGAUUUAUGGUGAUUUUUAUAAAACUGCCUAUCAUUUCAAACAUCAAUCCGGACCAGUCUGUGAUUAUGGACUUUUUCACACAAGUUGGAGAUCAUUAAAAUUCAUAAUAGAAAUUAUGAACAAACUAGACUCAUUUCCCAAACUCUCAGAAUUUACGGAUUCAGUUUUUGAUUUCGUAUGAUUUUUCUAUGAUCUUUCUAAAACAGUGCAGAAAAGUUAAAAACUAGUUAAGAACUUAUAACUUUCAACACACUUUGUAACAUGUUGAGCAAAGUGUUAAAUAUUUGAUGACUUCAUAUUUUACAUGUGUUUCUUGUUGUGGUAUAAUUAUAUAACAGAAAACACUCACUGAAUUGUAAGAAUCAUCCAUCAUUACCAUUAGUACAAAACAAAACAAGAUAAACAUAGUUAUAUUUUGCUAUACAUUCGACUUACAUAGAAAAGGGUUCUUAUACACCACAAACAAACAUACUAAACUAUAAUAGGUAUAGUUAGGUUGCUUAUACAUUUCAAACAUCUUGAUAAACUAUAAUAGGUAUAGUUUAUGUUCAUAUACAUUACAAAAGGUUUUCAUACGAAAAGGGGUACAAAUACAAAGUACCGGUUUUAUACGAAAAGUGGUACAAAUACAAAGUACCAGGUUUUCAUACGAAAAAGGGUACAAAUAUAAAGUACCGGUUUUAUACAAAAGGAGGUACAGAUACAAAGUACCAGGUUUUUAUACAAAAAGGGGUAAAAAUACAAAGUACCAGGUUUACAUGAAAUAGUUUUUUUUUUAUGAUAUUAAAACUAUAUUUCAUCUAGAAUUGUUAGACUUCAGCUAUAAUUGCUAAGUGUAUAUGCUAGAGUUAUAUAAGAAUCUAGUCACAAGCGACUUAGAAUUGGUGGGCCCGCCUUAUCUCCUGUUCCUUGUUUGGUUGUGGACCUGGGGCAGACCCAUUAUAUUCAACGGUUUAUUUAACUUAAUUUUUAUAUAAUUUAUAUACGCUGAGUGAUUAUAGAAGGAAUCUAUGGGUCUUUUUAGGAUUCAUUAUCGCAUAACAUAGAAGCAUUCAUUUCAUACAUAACAAGGAAAAUAUUGGAUUUUCUGGAAACAUACUUUGUUGCUUUUACAAGGAAAACGGAUUCAUUCUAAAACAAAACUCUUAUGAACUCACCAACUUAAUUGUUGACACUUUUUCAAAACUACUUGUAUUCUCAAGAAAUCAGUGAAACAUGAAAAACCAACAUCAUUUUGAGGAUGGGACGAUAAAUCGUCAAACAUUACAUUUUGUCAUCAUAAUGUAAUUGAUUUUGAAACAUGUAAACUUGCUAUGAUGUAACUUUCUCAAUUAUAUUUAUGAUGGUUGUAUUUACUUUGAGCACUAUUACACUCGUUGUUGUGAUACUAUACAUGAAGUCCUCCACCCCCGAAUGUUUCCGCCAUCCUUGGUUUGGGGGUGCGACAAGUAUCAUCACAGAGUAUAUAAUUGAAACAUAACAUCAUCAUCAUCACACAUGUAAUAUAACAACAUUCAAUGUUUACAUCGAGUAUUGUGUUUUAAAUAUUAUAUGCAAAAAUAGUUAAAGUAUGAUGAAACAAAAUAUAACAAAAUAUCCAUGAAAUUCGCUCUGCCCAACCUGCGCAAUGGUUUCCUGAGAAUACAAGUUAAUUUAAAAAGGUCAACAUAAAAAUGUCGGUGAGUUUAUAAGCAUGCUUGUGAAAAUUAUUUGUAUAACUUUGUAACCACCGGAAAAUCCUAUAUUUUCUAAAAACAGUUUAGUAUGUUUGUGUCCGAUCUUGUAUUAAUGCAUUUGUGUUAAUGUUUACUAGAAUGCAAAAAGAGAAUGAAGAGAAUGUAAAGAGAUUAUAAAGAGAAUGCCCCCAGACAACCCGAUGUUAUCUAUGAAAAAAAAUGCUUGUAUAUCAACCCCCGGGGUUGGGUACCGGCGCAAGUAUGUUACCGAGUGAUCCAAAGAGGAAAGAGAAUGGUUUCCCAUAAAUUUUAUAACGUUAAUUCCUCUAAGUGAGUCGUUAUAACCAUACUAGCUAAUGACAAUUUCGCUUGUCUUGGCGUUUAUGGACGCCGACAGAAUAAGGUAACGUUUUUGUCACCCUAGACUGGUCUAGUCUAAUAGUAGCGAACAACUCAGGUGUGGGGUGUCACCCCCGUAUAGAUCUAUACAUAAACCCCUGCUCUCCCUCCAAGAGACACUGGUUAUAACUACAGGCUACGAUCGUCCACUCAAUAGGUGUCGAUAGACAUGCCUCAUUAGAUCCUUAAUCGAAUUUUACGCGAAAAGAGACAUAUAAGGUACAUUCAAGGCCCAAUGAACAUGUAAGUGGACAACUGAGGCCUACUAAGCAUGUAUAUCAUUUCUAGGCUCAAAAGGAAUGAGAAUGUAUAUCCCGGGCCCAAUAUAUAUGUAAAAGGACAACUAAGGCCCAUUUAACACGUAUAUUAAUUACAAGCCCAAUAAGCAUAUAAGGAGUAUCCAAGGUCCGUCGAUCAUGUAAAUAGGUCAACAAAUCCCAAUAAACAUGUAACGAGUAUACAUGACCUAUCAAGCAUAUAAAUGGAUCAUUAAGGCCCAAUAAACAUAUAAAGAGUAUACAAGGUCCGUCGAGCAUGUAAAUGGGUUAACAAAGCCCAAUAAACAUGUAAAGAGUAUACAAGACCUAUCAAGCAUAUAAAUGGGUCACUAAGGCCCAAUAAAAGUGAGAACGACAUAAUUAGCCCGUUUGUUAUUAUAUUGCUCGUUUUAGCUCAAUUAUUUACCAAAAUAACAUAAAAGACCACUUUUUGUAAAAAUGACAUUGUUGGCCACUUAAGCCGAACAUUUACAAUGAAGGCGGAUUUUUGGUAAAAAUGACACUUUAGGCCAAUUGAGACCGAAAGUUUACUUUUAAGGGCUCAUUUUGUAUAAAAUGACAUUUUCAACCCACUUUUGAUAGAAAUAACAUUUUGGCCCAUGUUUGUUUAAAAUUACAAUUUAAUCCAUAAAAAGUCAAUAAAUUCUUUUUUAGGCCCUUGAAAACUGUGAGUUUCUAAAUAAGACCCAUUUUUGUGAAAAUUGACAUAUUUAGCCCAUUAAAACCGUGAAGGCCCAUAUAGAAGCCCAUUUGUGAAAAUUUGCACUUUUGGCCCCUUUAAAACCAUGAAUAUAAUAAAGACCCAUUUUUAUUUAAAAAUGACUCUUUUGGUCCUCUCAAAACCAUGAGUUAACAUAAGAAACUCACUUUUUGUUUAUUUUGUCAAAAAUGGACCUUUACACAAUUUAGUUAGUUUUCAAACAUGUUUACCAUGUUUAAUCCUUUCCACUUCAUAGUAAGUCACAUAAGAUGGUUUAGUUUACAAACAUCACCAAGUAUGGUAGGUAUACGAGUUUGGUAGAGAUCUAGCUUGUUUUCAUAACCUAAUCACAAAAUAUAACAUGAAAACACACACAUACAUGCAUAAAUACAUAGAUCUAACACAAGCAACUUGUAUCCUCCCCUCAAAACAUAGUAAGAACCGAAAACAAGGGGGUAUAAACUUGCUUUGCUUUGAAGAUUUCGGUUCUUGAUGAAGAUUAGAAGAGUUUUUGGCUUUACAAGCUCCCUUGAAGAGAUUUUUGGAACUUAGGGUGUUUUAAGAGGCAAGACUCACAAAAUGGAGUGUUCAAGAGUGUGAAUCUUAACAUGAAAUGAAAUAGAAUCAAUUGAGAAUGAUGAUAACUUACCAAACUUAAUGAUUCUUGAAGUAGAAGCCUUGGAUUUUCUCAAACACCACAUGAUUUUUAGAGUAAGCGGAAGGAAGUUCUUUGUGUUCUUGAGAGGAUUUCUAGUGUAAUUGAAGUGGAAGAUGAGAGUGAUGGUGAAGUUCCCUUGGCCAAUAUUUUAAGAAGGAAGAGAGAGAAGGAUUAGAUUGGUUAGUACAUGAAGGAUUUGGUCUUGGAAAUAUGAGAGGUAUUAGCUUGGAUUACCUCCAUAUAAACACGAGUUGUCAUAAAUUUAAUCAAUUCAAAAAAUUUUAUUUUUGUUUUUUGAAGUUGGGCCGAGAAUGAGAGGGGAAGAGAAGAUAAUAGGAGUUUCGGCCUUUUUCUUGAUUAGGUUCGAAAUUAUGAGGCCCAUAAUGAAGGUCCUCGGCCCAUUGGGCCCUUCUUGAGGGUUCAUGGCACAAAGGUGGUAAAGGGAUGGGUUUUACGGCCUAAUUACCACGAGAAGAUGGGUUUACAGCCCAUCAUAGUUCAAUAGGGUGGUUCACGGUCGAUGAGAAUAAGUGAGUUAUUUUAGGCCCAACAUGGCCCAAUUGUUAUGGUUUGACGAAUGUGGACCCAACUAGAGCCCAAAUGGGUUUCAUUGGCCCAAAAUCAUCAAAUAGAAGGUUUACUAGCCCAUUAGGCCCAAUACGAGGAUCCUAGUUCAUAUUAAAUUCGAACUGGGAUUUUUAGGGUUUCAGACCCAUAGUUAAGUAUAUGAGAUGCUUUGUAUUAGGUUUGAACUUCACUCAGGAGUUUUGACUCAAAUAGAUGAUUUUGAUUGAGCAUAGAGUAUGAUAUCCACUUAGAGUACAAGUCUUACAAUAAUUAAUGUUUACAUGAGGACAAAAUUUCCUAGCUAAAAAUGCUAGUUGUGAUAUCAUCCCCUCGUUAGAGGGAAUUUCGUCCUGAAAUUCUUUUUAAAGGUAGGAUCAUGAACGAGAGAAUAAGUGAGGUUACUUCUGCUUCAUCUGGUCUUCGCGUUCCCAUGUGAAUUCCGGUCCACGUUUAGCGUUCCAUCGAACCUUCACAAUCGGAAUGCGACUCUUUUUCGUACGCUUCACUUCCCUAUCCAUUAUCUCGAUCGGUUCUUCGAAGAACAGGAGAUUCUCGUUUAUUUCGAUCUCUUCUGGAGAAAUGACAAGGGUUUCAUAUGCUAAUCACCUUUUCAAAUUUGAAACGUGGAACAUAGGGUGUACGUUGCUGAGCUCAGCAGGUAGCUGCAGCUUAUAAGCCACUGGACCAAUUCGGGCAAGAAUCUCGAACGGCCUGAUGUAUCACAAAUUUAGUUUUCCUUGUUUUCCAAAAUAGAUCAUCCCUUUCCAAGGAGAGACCUUUAAUAGUACCCAAUCUCCGACUUGGAAUUCUAGAGGUUUUCGUCGUUUGUCAGCGUAACUCUUUUCUCGGUCACGCGAUGCAUGGAGUCGGGCUUUGAUUUGGAUUAUCUUCUCUGUAGUUUCUCGAAUGAUUUUUGGUCCUAUAAGAGUGUUGCUCAAUGAUUGCCCUUUUGCUAGUUGGGUGUCACCCACCUUAGCCCAGCAGAGAGGCGAUCGGCAUUUACGACCAUAUAAGGCCUCAAAAGGAGCAACCCUUAUACUCGUGUGAUAGAUGUUGUUGUAUGAGAAUUCAAUAAGGGGCAAGUGGGUAUCCCAUGACUUUUCAAAAUCGAUCACACAGGCUCGGAGCAUAUCUUUGAGUGUUUGGAUGGUUCGUUCGCUCUGGCCAUCGGUUUGAGGGUGGUAAGAAGUGCUCAUGUCUAGUUGUGUCCCUGUAGCCUUCUGGAGUAACUGCCAAAACCGUGAAUAAAAUCUAUUAUCACGAUCCGAGAUAAUAGAUACUGAUACUCCAUGAGUCUCACGAUCUCUUUGAUAUAGAUUCGUGUUAAUCUUUCUAUCUUGUAUGAUUCUUUUAUUGGCAGGAAAUGAGUGGAUUUAGUUAACUUAUCGACAAUCACCCAAAUAGCAUCCAAUCCAUCUGUUGUCUUAGGUAAUUUGGUUAUGAAGUCCAUAGUAAUCCUUUCUUAUUUCCACUCGGGUAUUACUGGCUGUUGUAAUAAUCCCGAGGGCUUUUGAUACUCCAGUUUCACUUUAGCACAAGUGAGACACUUGCCUACGUAAGUGGCGAUCUCUGCCUUCAUAUUUAGCCACCAAUAAUGUUGCUUAAUGUCCAGGUACAUCUUAUCCGAACCUGGAUGGAUGGAAUAUUGCGUUCUAUGAGCCUCGUUCAUGACUAUCUCUCUGAAUCCCCCAUGUUUAAGGACCCAAUAAUUUUCAAAUUUUUGUGGGUAUCAUCGGAAUCGCCCAGCCUUCAAUGGCCUUGAUCUUGGAAGGAUCGACGUGAAUCCCUUCCUCACUGACUACAUGACCCAAAAAGUUUACACUGCGAAUCCAGAUGUCGCUUGGAGAGUUUUGCAUAUAAUCGCUCAGCCUUUGGAGUUUCCAAGAUUUGACAGAGAUGUUGACCAUGUUCCUCUUUUCUUCGGGAGUAUAUAAGGAUAUCGUCGAUGAAGACGAUCACAAAAUUUUCGAGGAAUGGGCGACAGACUCGUUUUAUGAGGUCAAUAAAUGUUGUAGGGGCAUUUGUUAGACCGAAGGGCAUCACAACAAAUUCGUAAUGACCAUAUCGAGUUCGGAAAGCAGUUUUUGGAAUAUCCUCUUCUCGGACUCGAAGUUGAUGAUAAUUGGAUCUUAAAUCUAUUUUGGAGAAGUAACUAGCUCCUUGAAGCUGGUCAAAUAGAUCGCCAAUCUAAGGGAGUGGGUAUCGGUUUUUGACAGUGAGCUUAUUCAAUUCCCUAUAAUCGAUGCACAUCCUGAAGGAUCCAUCCUUUUUCUUGACAAACAAGACCGGAGCUCCCCAUGGUGAGAAGCUUGGUUUGAUAAAUCCUUUGCUCAACAAUUCUCUUAGUUGGUUGGAUAACUCCCGCAUUUCGACGGGAGCUAACCUGUAGGGUGAUUUGGCAAUUGAUGUGGCUCCUGAUAUGAGGUCGAUUUGAAAUUAAACAUGUCUUUCUGGGGAUAUUCCCGGAAGGUCUUCUGGAAAUACAUCUGGGAAGUCGCUUGCCACUUGGAUGUCUUUAAUGUUUAAUUCUUCUUUGGCUUUAUCCACAACAUGAGCAUGGAAAGCAUAAUUUUUCUUGUGUAGGAACUUUUGUGCCUUGAUGCACGAGAUGAAACGAAGAUUGGCACCAUAUUUAUCACCAUAUAUUAUUAGGGUUUCGUGAUUGGGGAGGUGAAGGCGAACGACCUUCUCGUGACACAUAAUAUCAGCAUGCUGGGGGCUUAACCAAUCCAUGUCGAUUAUCACAUCAAAACUCCUAAUAUUUACUGGCAUCUAAUCUAUUUGAAAUGUCAUACCUCCGAACCAGACGGCGGAAACGUUCGGGGGCUUGUGCGUGACUUCAUCUUGAAAUAUCAUUACAGUGAAUAUAAUUGAAACAUAAUAUCAUCAUCAUCACACAUGUAAUAUAACAACAUUCAUUGUUUACAUCGAGUAUUGUAUUUGAAUAUUGUGACAACCCGAUAUUUCAACUCUGUGUAAUGACCUAAAAAGUCAAUUAUUGUAACCACUUUUGUGAUAAUGAAAUUAACUUCGAAAAUAAAAUGUCCAAAAAGUUUCUAUUUAAUUACCUAUUGUGAUAGAUGUCUUUAAACCGUGAUCGUAUGUAAAAAGAACUCCCAAAUCCGACUUCGUAUAUUGAAGUUAUGAUUUUACCAAGUUCGGCUUAGCGGCAGGCAGCNACAGCUAAAAACUCGAAUCGGAGAUCGAGCGACUUUUGGCCGGAAUGACCUAAACGAGAAUCGAAGGUCUCGACAAUGGUAAUUCAGCGGUAAAAAGUCUGGCAAAAACCGACGUCAGAUAAAGAAGUUAUGAAUUUCUAAAGAAAUUCCUUAAACACGACCUUUUAAAAAUAAAUAAUAAAAAUAAUUUCAAAAUUUGCCGACGGAAUCUAAACGAAAGUUGUAGAGCGUAGUCUCACCUACGCGUGGGUAUAAAGACCAUCAAAAACGGAAUUCGUAUGAAGAAGAUAUGAAUUUUAGAAGUUUAUUAAUUAAAUUAAAUAUAAAUUUAAUUAUAAUUGUUUGGUAUUAUCCGAAGGCAGUCAGCAGAUAGGGCCGAAGUACGCCCUGCGUACCCUCGUACGCCCCGCGUACUCAAGGCCUAGGCCUCGGAUCGUCCACGUCCCGGUCUAUGCGAAGUAGCCUUGUCCCAUCCGAAGUCCGAGGCAGUCGAGGACUCGGUCAUGCAUGACGUACGCGUACGCCCCGCGUACCCUCGUACGCCCCGCGUACCGAGGCGGUUCCAGCCCCUAUAAAAGGGAUGCGAGGGUUCCGAAGAAAGGGCUCCAUUUCUCUCCUCUCUUGUGCGUUCUUGCCUCGUUUUCCGUGCCCGUUCUAACCCGAAGCCCCGGCCAUUUUGCUCAAGUCCCGAAGGUCGUUUUUACUCCUGAGAUUCCUGAGGAAAUUCGUUUCCCGAGACGAAAUUCUGCCCGGUUUCCAUCUCGCUUUCUUCAAACCUUCAGGUGAGUUCAUACCCCUACAACCACACUUUAAAUGCUUUUUAAACACUUUUAAGGGAGGGGAAUACAAGUAAACACACGACUAAAAUCGUAUGAAACAUCGAUCUUUUGCUAUACUUUUCAUACUGUUGUUUUAACUAUCUUAUGAAGUCAUCAUCAUGCAAAACACCUCACAACACAGCUUUACCCUCUUGGGAUACAAUAUGUUUUAUAAAUAGAAAUAAUGUUUUAUUUAUACGUUUACAUACAAAUACAUCAUAUCAAGGGUAACAUUCUUUAAUAAAUCAUUUUAUGCAUUCAAAGAACUUAUGAUUUAUGCUUUGUCAAACAUUGUGAAAAAGGAUAAACUUUGCAUACAAAACUACUACUUUAAUACAGACUUAGUUGAGAAUCCGUGAGACGUGUAUAUCUUCAAAUAAUACCUUUUUGCUAAAAGGUACCGCUACAAGUCCUGUCUAUAACCAGAGUCUCCCGUUCGGAGAACGUGUCAAAUGUGUAUAGAUCUAUACGGGAAGUCAUGAUCCCGCGCCCUGACUGUUAGCUACAGUCCGUCCUUUGGGGUGACAGUUUGUCAUAACGCUACGACGCCUGAAGAACGUCGCUACAGGCAUAUUAUGUUUAGUAUGGUUAUAAAACUCAUCGGAUAUACAAUUAUUAUAGUACUUCUGAUUGAUGAAUGAGUAGUUAUUAAAACUAUUCUUCAUCUAACAAACUGAAAUCUUCUAAUAGGUUUUAUUAUAUAAAUCUAUGCUUCAACCUUCUAAAGCAUGUCAUUUGCUUUCGGUUUUUAGUCUGGGACAUUAGGCUAACUAUUACUUUAGGAAAAUAUGGGAUUUUCCUGUAUACAAAACAAACAACUAAUAGGAAAAUAAGGGAUUUUCUUGAUUCAACUAUCUACAUUAUUCAAUACAAAUAUUCUCAUGCAUUUCACACUUUUAUAAGAAAAUAAGGGAUUUUCUUGGAAAACAUACACUCAAUUUGGAAUGGCAUACAAAUUUUCUAAACCACUUAUGAACUCACCAACUUAAUUGUUGACACUUUCUCUUUGAAAUAACUUGUAUUCUCAGGGAACCGCUAAGCAGGUUUGGAAAUCAACUUUUGGGGAUUAACGCGCUGGCGUUAAUUACUUCUUUUGAAAGAUGUUUAUGUAUUUAUCUUUUGAACAUGUAAUGAAUACAAU